UAGGACUGGAGGGGGAUCGCAGCCCACACAUGCCAGCGCACAAAGCCCGGCAUUCAUGCAUCGGUCCGCCGUGCUCGACGCCCACUGCUGUGACGGCGUACAGACAGAAAGACGGCCAGCAGGACGGGGAAAGGCAGAGCUGAUGUUCCAUGGAAAGGAAAAACAGGAAUAGCGCUGAAUGAAUAGUACCCUCGACACACCUAGCCGGCGCUGCAGCUCCGGGCUCUGAAGGGUGCAGUGUUCGGGGACAACGCGGCAGUGUUUUGGCCUCAACCGCUUUUAAUCGUGGAGGGAAGUAGAGGUGUAACUGCUACUACGGUCCUGUAGAUCCCGCUGAGUGGAGUGGUGCUCAUACUGGGGAGAGUGUUAAGAAGGUUUGACUUAUUUAAAUAAAGGAGUUUGGAUGCCACACAUCUAACAUCUGACAGGAAUCGGGUCUCUAAUGCAAACAAACCCUUUCUGCUCCCGAGCUGACCGCUAAAAAACGUUGUGAGACGAGUCUUACUCUCGUAAUUGUUUUUCCAGUAGCAGAGCUAAGUUGAGUAAAGAGCUGACGUGUGCUGUGAGGGGAGAAAGGGUGUCGUGCAUCAUGGAACUAUGGAGUCGGGCCUGGUUUUGCCACGAAUGGCAUCACUGGCUUGAAACGCUGGAGUGACCAGGCACACAGAAUAAGACAAUGUUCCUUUGCUAAGUGUUGGCGACCAGAGAAAGGCUCCUUCAUCCGGGGACGAGAUCUCCUGUCACUCCUCUGCUCAUCGGCCCGGGUUCUCCUGCCAAGCUGAGACAGCUCCGAUCCACUGGGUGUGCUUCGGAUGUUUGCGUCUGACGGAAUAAAAAGGGUUCAGUGGUUCCUGUUGCCCCCUUUAACUUCCAUGCCUUCAUUUGUCCAGGGUGGUGGGUAUUAUCUUUAUGCUUGACUGGAUGGUGGGAAACACACACAGUGAGCGAGCGCCUCCCUCCAAGGGGCUGCUGUUAUGGUUCAACAUUCCUUUGACAUUACCUUCUUCUUCUUUCUAAUUUCAGUAGCAGCAGCGUGUGUGUGAGAGCGAGUACUUUACCACCUCUGCCUCAUUUGGGAACAUUUGGGAAUCUCCUUGGUUUGAUUGGUUAAUCACUGAAGAUGAACUGAUCACGCGUGUGCGUGAUGCACAGCUCACAGUUUGAGCAGAUAAGAACUCAGAGUGUCAAUGGCAGGACGUGUUAUGGUUGCAGAGGCCCAGUAGCAGAUUAGCAAGCUGAAGCGAGCCGACCCAAAGCGUCCUCACACUCAUUUUACCAUCAGGGACGGAAGUCAGUUCGUAGAACUCCCAUCGGCUAUCUGUAGUGUGCUAAAUGCAUGAAUAGGUUGUGACGAGCUGUAACCACAACUAUCAGCCAAUGAAUAAUACAUCCCACUUGAAGGUGUGCUCACGUUAACCAGGGUGCUGCAGGUCCUGCUGCUGUCCACAGAGCUGAAGACUAGCAGAGGUUUCCUGCCGCGCAGAGAUGCAGAGAUCACCGUCAUGUACGUUCAGCCCUGAGACUAAAGGGAAGGAGACAGAAGUUCAUCUACCACACACACACACAACAUGGCUUCUGCAGACCUGAGGUAACAGACCUGACAGGCGUCUAACACACACACACACACACACACACACACACACACACACACAGCCACCAGGCCUCCCUGUGCUGCAGUUCGGUCAUUCAACCCUUUGAGUAGCCGAGUACUGGUACAGAUAUUUGAUUCCUCCUGAUGUAGCUUUUCAUUUGCCGUAUUGUAGAAUGUAGCACGAGGACACUAAAAUGAGCAGAGGUGAAUUUUAUGCUCGGGAAUAUUCCUGUUUUAUAGGAGCAAUUAUGAGUAAUGAUGAAACAAAUAAAUCAGACGAUGCACAAGCAGCUUCUGAUCCGAUCCUCUGCAACCUUUGAAUGAGCUCAGGGACGACGUGGGGAAAGAAAUCAGGGCGCUGGAGGGAAUUGCGAGCCAGUACAUGUUACGAAUUUAGAAAUCAUGAAAGCAGUAAAAAGAAACUCAACAAUUCUCCUUUUGGGGUCUCUAGAGAAGCGCUGGCUUUAGCUGCUCCCCGUGCCACAUGGCCCCAUCCAGGGGCCCCAACACACCCAGGAGAUGCUACGUGCUGUGUCUCUUGGGGGUUUAUUGAAAACUUCGACCCACACAUCGCCAACAUCACAUUAAUACGUCUAUCGGCGCUGAGGAGGCAGCGAGGGAUGAAACCAUUACCCGCCGGUGAAGACAAAGCGGCGGGGCAGAUAUGAGCCUGGAGAAGUCCUGGAGAAGUCCUGGAGAAGAAGCAGCCGGUGUUUUUGAAGGCCCUGCUGCUGUGAUUUAGAGCCAGAUGAGAGAGGAGGACGCAGGAGGCCCUGGAUGAAGGAAUGCUUCCACCCUUCCUGAUGUUAACUGCCCCACUGGGAGGAACACCAGCAGGGACCUCUAAGGAUGCGACACUGCAGAGCUUUCACUCAAAACCCCCACGUCAGGUCAUACUUUUUAGAGGUGCUCUAAAUCAGUGGCGCACAACCUCCGAGUCAUUCGUGUGCAAAAUAUAAAAAAUGUUUUGAAUUUGGAAAAAUGGCGGCAUCCUCUCCCAAUUACAUGUGCUUGGUCCUGUUUUUGGUCUGACGCUUUACUGCUUGGUUGUACAAUGUUUUCAUUAUAAUCCUACAAACAACGUAACAGCUUUUGCCUGGUCAGCGUCAGCCAGAACUAUUGCUGUUUGCUUGGGGGUUCAAAUACUUAUUUUCUGCAUCAAAUGCAAAUAAAGUCAGAAAUGUUAUAAAA